GGAUUAGAUACCCUGGUAGUCCACGCCGUAAACGGUGGGUGCUAGGUGUAGGUCGUAUUCCGCGCGAUCUGUGCCGCAGCUAACGCAUUAAGCACCCCGCCUGGGGAGUACGGCCGCAAGGCUAAAACUCAAAGGAAUUGACGGGGGCCCGCACAAGCAGCGGAGCAUGUGGCUUAAUUCGACGCAACGCGAAGAACCUUACCAAGGCUUGACAUGCAGGGAAAUCUCACAGAGAUGUGAGGUCCGCAAGGGCCCUGCACAGGUGGUGCAUGGUUGUCGUCAGCUCGUGUCGUGAGAUGUUGGGUUAAGUCCCGCAACGAGCGCAACCCUCGUUCCAUGUUGCCAGCGGAUAAUGCCGGGGACUCAUGGGAGACUGCCGGGGUC
rnacentral:rRNA from 1 species